rnacentral:rRNA from 1 species
AGUCCACGCCGUAAACGAUGAGUGCUAGGUGUUAGGGGGUUUCCGCCCUUAGUGCUGAAGUUAACGCAUUAAGCACUCCGCCUGGGGAGUACGGCCGCAAGGCUGAAACUCAAAAGAAUUGACGGGGGCCCGCACAAGCGGUGGAGCAUGUGGUUUAAUUCGACGCAACGCGAAGAACCUUACCAGGUCUUGACAUCCUCUGCAAUCGGUAGAGAUACCGAGUUCCCUUCGGGGACAGAGUGACAGGUGGUGCAUGGUUGUCGUCAGCUCGUGUCGUGAGAUGUUGGGUUAAGUCCCGCAACGAGCGCAACCCUUGAUCUUAGUUGCCAGCAUUUAGUUGGGCACUCUAAGGUGACUGCCGGUGACAAACCGGAGGAAGGUGGGGAUGACGUCAAAUCAUCAUGCCCCUUAUGACCUGGGCUACACACGUGCUACAAUGGAUGGAACAAAGGGAAGCAAAACCGCGAGGUCAAGCAAAUCCCAUAAAACCAUUCUCAGUUCGGAUUGCAGGCUGCAACUCGCCUGCAUGAAGCCGGAAUCGCUAGUAAUCGCGAUCAGCUGCCGCGAAUGCC